rnacentral:rRNA from 1 species
CGAGUGGCGGACGGGUGAGUAACGCGUGGGUAACCUGCCUCACACUGGGGGACAACAGUUAGAAAUGACUGCUAAUACCGCAUAAGCGCACAGGACCGCAUGGUCCGGUGUGAAAAACUCCGGUGGUGUGAGAUGGACCCGCGUUUGAUUAGCUAGUUGGUGGGGUAACGGCCUACCAAGGCGACGAUCAAUAGCCGACCUGAGAGGGUGACCGGCCACAUUGGGACUGAGACACGGCCCAA